rnacentral:rRNA from 1 species
GAUGAACGCUGGCGGCGUGCCUAAUACAUGCAAGUCGAGCGAACAGACGAGGAGCUUGCUCCUCUGACGUUAGCGGCGGACGGGUGAGUAACACGUGGAUCCCCUCCCUAUCAGACUGGGAUAACUUCGGGAAACCGGAGCUAAUCCCGGAUAAUAUAUUGAACCGCAUGGUUCAAUAGUGAAAGACGGUUUUGCUGUCACUUAUAGAUGGAUCCGCGCCGCAUUAGCUAGUUGGUAAGGUAACGGCUUACCAAGGCAACGAUGCGUAGCCGACCGGAGGGGGGGGUCGGCCACCCUGGAACGUGACCAGCGUCCAGACUCCUACGGGAGGCCGCAGUAGGGAAUCUGCCGCAGUGGGCGGAAGCCUUACGGAGCAACGCCGCGUGAGUUAUGAAGGUCUUCGGAGCGUAAAACUCUGUUAUGAGGGAAGAACAAAUUUGGAAGUAACUAUGCACGUCUUGACGGUACCUAAUCAGAAAGCCACGGCUAACUACGUG